rnacentral:rRNA from 1 species
AGAGUUUGAUCAUGGCUCAGAUUGAACGCUGGCGGCAUGCUUUACACAUGCAAGUCGAACGGCAGCGCGGGCUUCGGCCUGGCGGCGAGUGGCGAACGGGUGAGUAAUGCAUCGGAACGUACCCAGUCGUGGGGGAUAACACAUCGAAAGAUGUGCUAAUACCGCAUACGUCCUGAGGGAGAAAGCGGGGGACCUUCGGGCCUCGCGCGAUUGGAGCGGCCGAUGUCAGAUUAGCUAGUAGGUGGGGUAAAGGCCCACCUAGGCGACGAUCUGUAGCGGGUCUGAGAGGAUGAUCCGCCACACUGGGACUGAGACACGGCCCAGACUCCUACGGGAGGCAGCAGUGGGGAAUUUUGGACAAUGGGGGCAACCCUGAUCCAGCCAUGCCGCGUGAGUGAAGAAGGCCUUCGGGUUGUAAAGCUCUUUCGGACGGGAAGAAAUGGGGCUCUCUAACAUAGGGCGUCGAUGACGGUACCGUAAGAAGAAGCACCGGCUAACUACGUGCCAGCAGCCGCGGUAAU